ACUAAUGGUAGAGGUUGCAUUAUUAAAUAGUACUAUUAUUGAGGGAAAGCACCUAUGAUUUAAUAGGAAAGGUAAUGAUGCCGAAAUAUAUAAGUUAAGCUUAAAGCUUAUAUGUUGGGGUUAUGUAUAAGAUAUAUAACACUGUCACUUUAUGUGGAGGGCUAUCUUUAGA
rfam:Clostridium sp. JC272 contig301, whole genome shotgun sequence.